rnacentral:rRNA from 1 species
UACAGAGGGUGCGAGCGUUACUCGGAAUUACUGGGCGUAAAGGGCGCGUAGGUGGUUAGAUAAGUGAGUUGUGAAAUCCCUGGGCUUAACCUAGGAACUGCAACUUAUACUGUUUGACUAGAGUACGGUAGAGGGCAGUGGAAUUUCCGGUGUAGCGGUGAAAUGCGUAGAUAUCGGAAGGAACAUCAGUGGCGAAGGCGACUGCCUGGACAGAUACUGACACUGAGGCGCGAAAGCGUGGGGAGCAAACAGG